UACGUAGGAUGCAAGCGUUGUCCGGAUUUAUUGGGUUUAAAGGGUGCUUAGGCGACGUAUUAAGUUAGUGGUGAAAACGUUCGGCUUAACCGGAUACCCGCCAUUGAUACUGAUAGACUUGAGUGCGACAGAGGGUGUUGGAAUGUGUGGUGUAGCGGUGAAAUGCUUAGAUAUCACGCAGAACACCAAUUGCGAAGGCAGAUGCCUAUGUCGUAACUGACGCUGAGGCACGAAAGCGUGGGGAGCAAACAGG
rnacentral:rRNA from 1 species